CCAGCAUCAAAAAUAGCUACUUUUCAGCAAGAUGGAGAACGCUAGAAGCAAAUGCCGAUUUAUGCAUGGUGGCCUCAUCUUAAGAGCAGCAUGAGGGCAAUGUUCACAGUCUUCAGGGGAUGGGGUGUAUUACAUCAGUCUUCAGCACUGCAUGGCAGAUGUCAUUCCCAACUCAGCAAAGGACCUCCACCCCUUCAGAACAACUAAUGUUGGUCCUGGAAGAUUCUGCCACCAGCUUUAAAGGACAAGUAAACCCAGACAAAACCAAUAGUCCUUCUGCUGAAUGGCAGGUCACAGGAUUAAUUGUGAGCUGCUUACAGAAAGCCAUAUGUGCAUGUAAGUAGUAAUCAGGAUGAUGCAUGGACCUACUAAAAUAACUUAUCAAUACUUAGAUACCUGGAGGAUGAUAUCUUAAAUUAUACUACAGUGAGAAUGCUUUUUAGAAAUUAGAAUGAUCUCCUUUAAAAAGUCAUUUGCCAACAGUUAUCACAGAACAUCUGUGAUACCAUAGUUUUACCUUAUACUUAGAAAUAAAACAUAGUAUUAGAUGCUACACUGUGUUGUUUUUUGAAGACAUUUAAGAAUAGAUAGAGCUAGGUUAUAUAUAGUAUGAUAAAUAAUCAAGGUACUUCCCCAAAUACUGUAUAGUGAGUAUGCAAAAGUCAAACUACUUUUGCUUAAAUAAUUUAGUCUAUUUCAGGAUUGAAAUCUUGCUCUCAGAUUUCCAUGUAAGUAUAAGUGGAGGGAUAGAUAGAUAGAUAGAUAGAUAUUGCCUUGAGAACUGCACACAAAUACUUUUUUGAUGAAGUAGAAAACUCUGCCAUAAGUGCAGAUGGCGUAUUAAUGUCCUGAUUCCCAACACAUUGAUGAUCUUCAUUAAAAAAUACGGUGACAGGAAACCUAAGCUGAUGAAGUGUUUGGGAAUUUCUUAGUAUUUGAGCUAAGACAAAUCUGGUUCUCUCCUUUCUGUAUUUCAUGCCCUGAGGUAACAUGUGUUAGCAAAUGCUCAAUCUAGCACAAUCUUGGCCCUACCCAAGUCAACACAGGUGUCUAUUAAGUUGGUUUAUAAAGGAUAUUUUUGGCAUACAUGGGAGCAGCUCCGCUUGCUAUUAAUUUCCUGUAAUUUUCUGUAAUUAAUUUC